rnacentral:rRNA from 1 species
AGUCUAACAUAUGUGCAAGUAAUUAGGGAAUUAAAAACCUAAUUGCGUAAUAAACAUAACUUUUAUAAUGGUUAAUUUUUAUAAAAAUUUAUUUUUAUAUUAAUACAAUCCGGGCGUCUAUAUAGUUAUGUAUAAUGAUAUUUAUAUUAUUUAUACCUCUAACUGGAGCGUACCUUGAGCAUAUAUGCUUGACCCGAAAGAUGGUGAACUAUACUUGAUCAGGUUGAAGUCAGGGGAAACCCUGAUGGAAGACCGAAACAGUUCUGACGUGCAAAUCGAUUGUCAGAAUUGAGUAUAGAAUUGAGUAUAGGGGCGAAAGUAUCGAUUGUCAGAAUUGAAGUAUAGGGCGAAAGAACCAAUCGGAACCAUCUAGUAGCUGGUUCCCUCCGAAGUUUCCCUCAGGAUAGCUGUGGUGCAUUUAAAUAUUAAAUAAAAUAAUCUUAUCUGGUAAAGCGAAUGAUUAGAGGCCUUAGGUCGAAACGACUUAACCUAUUCUCAAACUUUAAAUGGGUAAGAACCCCUCACCUUACUUGAUAUAAGGUUGUGGUUAUGAUAUAAUGUGCCCAGUGGGCCACUUUUGGUAAGCAGAACUGGCGCUGGGGAUGAACCAAACGUAAUGUUUACGUGCCCAAAUUAACAACUCAUGCAGAUACCAUAAAGGCGUUGUUGCUUAAAACAGCGGGACGGUGGACAUGGAAGUCGUAAUCCGCUAAGGAGUGUGUAACAACUACACCUGCCGAAGCAACUAGCCCUUAAAAUGGAUGGCGCUUAAGUUUAUACCUAUACAUUACCGCUAAAGUAAAUGAUUUAUAUUCAAUUUCGGUUGAAUAAAAUUUUAAAACUUUAGUGAGUAGGAGGGUACAAAUGGUGUGCACAGAAGUGUUUGGCGUAAGCCUGCAUGGAGCCGCCAUUGGUACAGAUCUUGUGGUAGUAGCAAAUAAUCGAAUGAGACCUUGGAGGACUGAAGUGGAGAAGGGUUUCGUGUGAACAGUGGUUGAUCACGAGUUAGUCGGUCCUAAGUUUAAGGCGAAAGCCGAAAAUUUUCAUGUUUAUUAUGAUAAUAAAAUAAUAUUAUUAUUGUAAAUUAACGAACAUGAUUAUUUUUGAACGAAAGGGAAUACGGUUCCAAUUCCGUAACCUGUUGAGUAUCCGUUUGUUAUUAAAUAUGGGCCUUGUGCUCAUCCUAGGCAACAGGAAACGACCAUAAAGAAGCCGUCGAGAGGUAUCGGAAGAGUUUUCUUUUCUGUUUUAUAGUCGUACUACCAUGGAAGUCUUUCGAAGAGAGAUAUGGUAGAUGGGCUAGAAGAGCAUGACAUUUACUGUUGUGUCGAUAUUUUUCUCCUCGGACCUUGUAAAAUUUAUGGUGGGGUCACGCAAACUCUCAACAGGCCGUACCGAUAUCCGCAGCUGGUACUCCAAGGUGUAAGAGUCUCUAGUCGAUAGAAUAAUGUAGUAAGGGAGUCGUCAAAUUAGAUCCGAACUUCGGGGAUAAAGAUUGGCUCUGAGAUUGAGAUAGUCGGGCUUGAUUUGAAGCAAUAUCAUGGUCUAUAUACUCAUUCUGGGUAAAUAGAGAUUCUUGAAUCUUGUUCCCCGGAUAGUAGUUAUGUAGCUAUUGUGGAAAUUCUAGCUAAUAUUAAUUUGAGUGUUGAGAAAAUGCAAAAUUUUUUCAUUCAUUUUAAUUAUAACGAUUAUCAAUUAACAAUCAAUUCAGAACUGGCACGGACUUGGGGAAUCCGACUGUCUAAUUAAAACAAUAACUAUGACUCUCUAAGGGUGCCAAAUGCCCCGUCACCUAAUUGUGACGCGCAUGAAUGGAUUAACGAGACUUCCCUCUGUUCCCUAUCUACUAAUCUAGCGAAACCACAGCCAAAGGGAACGGGCUUGGAAUAAUUAGCGGGGAAAGAAGAAGACCCUGUUGAGCUUGACUCUAGUCUGGCAGUGUAAGGAGACAUAAGAGGUGUAGCAUAAGUGGGAGAUAUAAUUCGGUUUUACAUCAACAAUGAAUACCACUCUACUCUUAUUUUUUUCCUUACUUACUUGAUUAAGUGGAACGUGUAUCUAUGCUUAGCCAUUAUACGGAUAUAAUUUAUAUGUCUUAUGGUAUUGGGUAUUGAUGCAAGCUUCUUGAUCAAAGUACCACGAGUUUGUUAUAUAAUUGUAAACAAAUUUUUUAUGAAUUAAUAGCAUUUUCGGUGUUAUUUAUAUUUUGAAUUUGGUAUAACUCCAACACUCAGGUAUGAUCCAAUUCAAGGACAUUGCCAGGGGGGAGUUUGACUGGGCGCGGUACAUCUCUCAAAUAAAUAAACGGAGGUGUCCCAAGGCCAGCUCAGUGCGGACAGAAACCCACAUAGAGCAAAAAGGGCAAAUGCUGACUUGAUCUCGUUGUCAGACACAAAAGAGACAGCACAAAGCUCGGCCUAUCGAUAUCCCUUUUGGGUUUAAAGAGUGUUUUAACAAGAGGUGUGUCAGAAAGUUACCACAGGGAUAACUGGCUUGUGGCGGCCAAGCGUUCAUAGCGAACGUCGCUUUUUGAUCCUUCGAUGUCGGCUCUUCCUAUCAUUGUGAGCAAAAUUCACCAAGCGUUUGGAGCUAGUUACACCCAUGCAAGGGAAGU